AAGCAGCCGCAGCUGUGGGCAGCGGUCCUGCAGCGACCAUGUCCUCCCCCCGGGGCUGCAGGGAACCCUCCCCGGAUGCGUCCCUAGAUGUUCUGACUUCACUGCGCUGGGCUGGGCCACUGGCACCUUGCGUGCAGCCUGGGGUGAAACUUGAGGAUAUGCAGCCUCAGAACGCGGCCACAGAUGACAGGUGGAAGAACUAGAAUGUUGUGUCGGGAGGGAGAAACCACUGGCUCUGGGAAGCCACGCAAGUCCGAAAGGAGAAGGAUGAACAGGAUUGGAUUUCAGCUUUGAGACCUCACUCUGGUGCCAAGAACGCCUUGAGAGGAAAGCCAAGGAAAACACACCUACAGGGGUCUGAUUGCUGAGAGAGAUAUCAGAAGCAGAUGGAGGCAGGCAGAGAGAGAGAGAGAGAAGCAGGCUCCCUGCUGAGCAGAGAGCCCGAUACGGGACUCGAUCCCAGGACCCCGAGAUCAUGACCUGAGCCGAAGGCAGCGGCCCAACCCACUGAGCCACCCAGGCGCCCGCAAAGGCUGUGCCAGCCCCACUCCUCUCCUGCGGACCGAUGGUCUUCAUCAGACACUUCCUGGGCUGGGUUCAGGGCUACAGCCCAGUUUUGUAUGACCUUGUAUUCAAAGUUCUGGAGAUUCAGUUCUAAA